GAUGAACGCUAGCGGCAGGCUUAACACAUGCAAGUCGAGGGGUAGGAGAAGCUUGCUUCUUUGAGACCGGCGCACGGGUGCGUAACGCGUAUGCAAUCUACCUUUCACAAAGGGAUAGCCCAGAGAAAUUUGGAUUAAUACCUUAUAGUAAUACGACUUGGCAUCAAGAUGUAUUUAAAGAUUUAUCGGUGAAAGAUGAGCAUGCGUCCCAUUAGCUAGUUGGUAUGGUAACGGCAUACCAAGGCAACGAUGGGUAGGGGUCCUGAGAGGGAGAUCCCCCACACUGGUACUGAGACACGGACCAGACUCCUACGGGAGGCAGCAGUGAGGAAUAUUGGACAAUGGGCGCAAGCCUGAUCCAGCCAUGCCGCGUGCAGGAUGACGGUCCUAUGGAUUGUAAACUGCUUUUAUACAGGAAGAAACCCCUCUACGUGUAGAGACUUGACGGUACUGUAAGAAUAAGGAUCGGCUAACUCCGUGCCAGCAGCCGCGGUAAUACGGAGGAUCCAAGCGUUAUCCGGAAUCAUUGGGUUUAAAGGGUCCGUAGGCGGUCAGGUAAGUCAGUGGUGAAAGCCCAUCGCUCAACGGUGGAACGGCCAUUGAUACUGUCUGACUUGAAUUAUUAGGAAGUAACUAGAAUAUGUAGUGUAGCGGUGAAAUGCUUAGAGAUUACAUGGAAUACCAAUUGCGAAGGCAGGUUACUACUAAUAUAUUGACGCUGAUGGACGAAAGCGUGGGUAGCGAACAGGAUUAGAUACCCUGGUAGUCCACGCCGUAAACGAUGGAUACUAGCUGUUGGGCGCAAGUUCAGUGGCUAAGCGAAAGUGAUAAGUAUCCCACCUGGGGAGUACGAACGCAAGUUUGAAACUCAAAGGAAUUGACGGGGGCCCGCACAAGCGGUGGAGCAUGUGGUUUAAUUCGAUGAUACGCGAGGAACCUUACCAAGGCUUAAAUGUAGAUUGACCGGUUGGAAACAG
rnacentral:rRNA from 1 species